CUAUUACUCAGCCAUAAAAAGGAAUGAGAUUGGGUCACUUGUAGAGACAUGGAUGGACACACAGACUGUCAUACAGAGUGAAGUAAGUCAGAAAGAGAAAAACAAAUAUCGUAUAUUAACGUAUGUAUGUGGAACCUACAAAAAUGGUACAGAUGAACCAGUUUUCAGGGCAGAAACAGAGACACAGAUGUAGAGAAAAAUGUAUGGACACCAAGAGGGGAAAGCGGUGGGGAAGGUGGUAGUGGUGGUUGUGGGAUGAAUUGGGAGAUUGGGAUUGACAUGUAUACACUAAUAUGUAUAAAACAGGUAACUAAUAAGAACCUGCUGUAUAAAAAAAUAAUUUUUUUAAAAAAGGAAACACUUUUAAGGUGAGGAUUUAUGGGCAUACAUGCAAUUAAAUCAUCUGAGCUCAUUCAUCCAUUCACCAAAGAUCUUGAUGUGCCUCUUACAAAUUUGUUUUUAGGGAUACAAAAAAUGAAUAAAAUAUGGUCCCUGACUUCCAGAAAACCACAGCCUAGUUCUAGAGAUCCACAUGUGAGAAAAUAAUUAUGGUGCCACGAGUAUGCGGGCCUCUCACUGUUGUGGCCUCUCCUGCUGCGGAGCACAGGCUCCAGACGCACAGGCUCAGCGGCCAUGGCUCACGGGCCCAGCCGCUCCACGGCAUGUGGGAUCCUCCCGGACCGGGGCACAAACCCAUGUCCCCUGCAUCGGCAGGCGAACUCUCAAGCACAGCGCCACCAGGGAAGCCCUCAAAUGAUUUUUUAAAUGUGAAUGUGUGUAGGUGGAUUUGAAAUUUUUCAAAUAAAAGUUGGAGAAGGAAAAUAAGAUGCUAUGAAGGGAAAGAACUUGAAUUACAUAAAAGAGGGUUAGGGACUUCCCUGGUAGCACAGUGGUUAAGAAUGUGCCUACCAAUGCAGAGGACACGGGUUCGAGCCCUGGUCCGGGAAGAUCCCACAUGCCGCAGAGCAACUAAGCCCGUGCACCACAACUACUGAGCCUGUGCUCUAGAGACUGUGAGCCACAACUACUGAGCCCAUGUGCCACAACUACUGAGCCUGCAUGCCUAGAGCCCAUGCUCCACAACAAGAGAAGCCACCACAGUGAGAAGCCUGCGCAGGGCAACGAAGAGUAGCCCCCGCUCAUCGCAACUAGAGAAAGCCCGCACGCAGCAACAAAGACCCAACACAGACAUAAAUAAACAAAUAAAUAAAAUGUAUUUUAAACAAUAGGGUUAAACUGGGGCAAUGUGUUCAAGAGAAAUUCUGAUUCUACUGACCUACUGCUUCUACCAGUGACAAUGUAAAAAAUACUAAAAUAUUUACAUUUUUUAAAAAAAGGAAAAAAGCAAGAUGUCUUAGUCCAUUCAAGCUACAACAACAAAGUACAACAGGCUGGGUGCUUUAUAAGCAACAGAAAUUUAUUGCUCACAGGUCUGGAGGCUGGAAGUCUGAGAUCAGGAUGCUGGCACGGCCGGGUCCUGGGGAGGGCCCUUUUCUGGGAUGCACACAGCUGACCUCUUGGGUCCUCACCGGUGGCAAGAGCAUGAGCUACCCCUCUGUGGUCUCUUAUCAAGGCACUAAUCCCACCCACGGGGCUCCACCCUUAUCAGCUCAUCACCUCCCAAAGGCCCCACCUCCUAGUACUGUCACACUGAGGGUUAGGUUUCAACAUAUGGAUCUGGGGAGACACAAACAUUCAGUCCAUAACACAGGGGUCCCUGGCUCACAGUGGGCCCAGCACUGUCGGUGCACAGUGGCUGAACCUGGAUGGACAAGAUGGCCGUCAGCUUCACCCCUCGCUCUGGGACCUCAUCAGGUUUGCCACUGAUAACAACACGUAAGAUAAUGUCACAAGCUGAGGCAGGAAAGGGGCUGACUGUCUUGCAAAAUAUAUUCACACAAAUGUGAAUUUCCACACGAGAUCAAAAAGCAUCAAGCAGCCGCCGGCAGAUUAAGCCUGAGGACAGACGCUCGUCAGAAGUUGGGAAUUCUGGCUGCUGGGGCAGUUGGUAGAGCCAAGGAACGCAAAGGCCUCUGGGGGGAUCUGAAAUCCCGCCCUCCAUUUUCCUGUGAGUGUGUAGAAGUGGUUUACUCUCGUGCAGCUGGAUGGUGGAGUAACCCGAAAUUCAAUUUCAUUAGAGGAGGACUUUCCAUUUCAGUGAUUAACGCCGGCUCAGCUGACAGGGAAUUGCCUGGCUCUGCAGCAAGGAAUGUCGCCAAGAGGACACAGAAGAGGACUCAACUAAGAAUCAGGAGAACACAUGUGCAAAAGCUCCUAGCAGCUCCUGGAGCGCAGGAGGUAGGCAACAAAUUUUACAUUAAAAAUAAUUUAAGGGGUGGGGCUUCCCUGGUGGUCCAGUAGGUAAGACUCCAUGCUCCCAAUGCAGGGGGCCCAGGUUCGAUCCCUGGUCAGGGACCUAGAUCCUGCCUGUGCGCCGCAGCUAAGAAGCCCACGUGGCGCAACUAAGAGUCUGCAUGCCGCAACUAGGGUUCACAUGCUGCAACUAAGAGUCUGAUGCCACAACUAAGAGUCCGCAUGCUGCAACUAAAAGAUCCCACAUGCCGCAACUAAAGAUCCCACGAGCCGCAACUAAGACCUGGUGGAGCCAAAAUCAUUCAUUCAUUCAUUCAUUCAUUUAAGAAACUUCCAGAAUGUGACAUAUGUCCUCAGGGCAGUGUGGGGGGAGCAGUUCGCCCAGUGAAUUUGGAGAACCCCCACUCACACAGCUGGCCCCCAACGGGGAGGACCCAGCCACACACGUUCACUGUAAGUUUGCAAUCAUUUUCACUCUCUUUGGGCUCCUAUCUCCAACAUAUCAAUGGUCUGGACACCUCAUCUUCCUGCUUUUAAACAGGAGAUUCAACACAAAAAAUGAUAGCACAGUCAUUUCACUGAGGAAGAAAGGGAACAUGAGUUACUUCAGUUCUUCAUCUUUUACUGAUGACUUGGAGUUUCUACUUCCGGUGAAAAGUUAAAACCGUGAAAUUGAGUAUGACUUCAGUAUAAAUUCCCCUCUUGAAAAUUAAUGUAAUUAAAAUUUUCAUGUUGCCUCUUCCUUUUUGGACAUGCGUGUGCACGUGUG